GGUAUGCUCAAUUGUUCCAUCUCAGUAGCUACUACUUUCAUCUUCCUAAUUGUGUACCCUACAUCCAUAUUUUUACCUUGUAGAACUUUUUCACAUUGCAUUUUCCAGAUGUACCAUGUUGUAUAUAAACCAUUCUAGUAAUCAAUUCCUUUCCCCUUAUGCCAUUCCUCAAAGAUUUGAUCGUUUGGUUGAGCCAAGAAUCAAAAGUACUGAUGUAUUCUCUUAGGAUUCUCAGCCCAAAACAAGUUUCGAACCAAACGGCUCUCACCUACUCACAACUCAGCAAUAAAUGUUCCACUAUUUCCUCCUCACUUCCACAUAUCUCACAAAUAGGGCUAGGCAGACAUCUCCUCUUCCAUAACCCUAAUCUAGUAGGUAGGGCAUUAGAGCAUCAUCUACAUAAAAAGAUCUUCAGUUUACAAGGGAUGAACGGCCAAACAAGUUUGUCCUCACCCUCAAUGUCAUAUAUAAUGGUUUUUUGUAUCGUUUCUUUUUCCUCUUUUGAUAACCAGCGUCCAAUGGUAGGAAGAUCCCAGCUCUUCUCAUCUUUUCUUAAUAUUUCUGCAACUCUUAUUGGUCUGUCUUAAGUUGCAUCCUUAAGAGGUAAUUCAGUCAAUUUACAGCCCUCAAUUCCCGCAAUCCAUCUAUCCCCCCAAAUCUGAACUUGAUCUCCAUUAAUAAUCUGCCAAAACAUGUUAUUCUUCAUAAAUUCCUUAGCUUCUAUCAGACUAUUCCAAGUCCAGGAAGCUCUCGACCCUCUACUAGCCUCAAUGAAAGAGUGAUUUGGGAAGUAUAAUCCUUUUAGAACACGAACCCAAAGAGCCUUUAGUUCCUGUAUGAUUCUCCAGCAUUUUUUCGCAAGAAGAGCAAGAUUGAACAGUUCCAAAUCUCUGAAUCAAGCCCUCUUUUAUCUUUUGUAGGUUAUAAAGUGGUCGUGCCUCAAGACUAAGGAUUUAAAUAGCAGUCUGAUACUUGUAUAGCGACCGCUAUAUAGUUGUAGCGGCACCAUCCGAAACCGCUAUUAUGUUUUACAAUAAGUUGUGCGAAUUUUAAAAAAAUUCACGACCGUGAUACCUCCAGUGACCGCAAUAGCAUCCGUUAUGUCCGCAACCGUGGUCAACGCAACGUGACCGAAAACACGGCCACGACCGCAAUUUAAAUCCCUGCUCAAGACUAUUUGCAGGCCACUCCCAUAGGUAGUAGUUGUUGCAUUGUGAGGCUAUUGAAACUCAUUUGUACCCUUAAUAAUAGUUAUAGUAAAAUGUUGAGUUGAAAUUUCGGACUCAAUAAAGACAGAUAUGGCUACUGAAUUAGGAUGUGGACAAUUACAAAUAUAAAUGUUAAGCAAAAUGUUGUCUGUGUUAUCA